rnacentral:rRNA from 1 species
UGCCAGCAGCCGCGGUAAUACGGAGGGUGCAAGCGUUAUUCGGAAUCACUGGGCGUAAAGCGCGCGUAGGCGGUUUGUUAAGUAGGAAGUGAAAGCCCAAGGCUUAACCUUGGAACUGCUUUCUAAACUGGCAAACUAGAGAUAGGUAGGGGAUGAUGGAAUUCCUAGUGUAGAGGUGAAAUUCGUAGAUAUUAGGAGGAACACCAGUGGCGAAGGCGAUCAUCUGGACCUAUACUGACGCUGAGGUGCGAAAGCGUGGGGAGCGAACAGGAUUAGAUA